UGCAAUCAUUUCCCUAACAAAAGGGCUCAGUGCUGUCAGAUGGUACAUAGCUUGGGGGCUGUAUUCUUAUCUAGACUUAGGCAGGAAACCAUUUGAUUUACAACUGGAUGUAAGGAAUAGGGACUGCUUGCCUCAUCUGCACAGUAGAUUACUGGCAUGUAUUUCCCUUAGGUUACAAACCUAAAGGAUCUCACAUCGGCAAGAGAUGGCAGUGUGUGUUGCUGGCUAAACCAGUUAGGAUGCUGAGAACAUGGCAGACAGAUGCUCCAGAGUCUGUAAAUUCAAGGCAAAAUUAAAAAAUCUGCCUGGAAAGCUCUGAGCAACUCAGCUGGUGGCAAACUCCUUUCUGCCCCUUGAGAACACUUAGGAUGCUCCACAGAAUUAGAAGUCCCUAACUUCCCACAGCUGAGGGAACACCCAGAACAAGAGGCUUUGGUUAUAUAGAGGGAUAUUAAGCAGACCUGCUCUUCUUGAGGCAGGUCAUGGUAUGGUCUUGAUUUCCUUCAGGCUUGCCCUAAGACUGCAGCCUUAAACCCAAGGGUUUAUGACAGGAGAGCUGUGCUGUUCUCCUGCAUCCCUUCUGGAGCUCCACUGGAUUUGGUUGUGACCUUGAAGUUUGGGGCUGUGAUCUUCCUGGUGAUAACCUCAUCAUCUCGCCUUGGCCUGUCCCUAAAGGGUCUGUUCCAGGGACACAUUUUCUCAGCCAUCCCCUCCUUGCACACAGACUUGUUGUUCCAAGUUUUUACUUCGUUCUUGAAGGUGGAGGUACAGAGAGCCGAUGUAUGGAAUAUUUUUCUCCUCCAAUGUCUUCGUGGAUCUUCCCCCAAGCCGUAUGUUGGUGUUUCCCAGCUGCCCGGGUUUCUCAUGCAGAUGAGCCCUGCAAAACGGUUUCCUCCUGCAC